CGGGGGGAGCAAGCGUUGUUCGGAUUUACUGGGCGUAAAGGGCGCGUAGGCGGCCACCGCAAGUCGGUUGUGAAAUCUCCGGGCUUAACCCGGAACGGUCAAUCGAUACUGCGGGGCUAGAGUGCAGAAGGGGCAACUGGAAUUCUCGGUGUAGCGGUGAAAUGCGUAGAUAUCGAGAGGAACACCUGCGGCGAAGGCGGGUUGCUGGGCUGACACUGACGCUGAGGCGCGAAAGCUAGGGGAGCGAACGGGAUUAGAUACCCCGGUAGUCCUAGCCUUAAACGAUGAAUGCUUGGUGUCUGGGGUUUUAUAGUCCCCGGGUGCCGUCGCUAACGCUUUAAGCAUUCCGCCUGGGGAGUACGGUCGCAAGACUG
rnacentral:rRNA from 1 species